rnacentral:rRNA from 1 species
CCUACGGGAGACAGCAGUGAGGAAUAUUGGUCAAUGGGCGGAAGCCUGAACCAGCCAAGUCGCGUGAGGGAAGACUGUCCUAUGGGUUGUAAACCUCUUUUAUCCGGGGACAAAGGCGGGCACGUGUGCCCGUUUGCAGGUACCUCACGAAUAAGGACCGGCUAACUCCGUGCCAGCAGCCGCGGUAAUACGGAGGGUCCGGGCGUUAUCCGGAUUUAUUGGGUUUAAAGGGAGCGAAGGCGGGCUGUUAAGUGUGCGGUAAAAUUUUGGGGCUCAACCCGGGCGAGCCGGUGAAACUGGGGGGCUGGAGUGGGAGGGAAGUAGGCGGAAUGCGGGGUGUAGCGGUGAAAUGCUUAGAUAUCGCGCAGAACCCCGAUUGCGAAGGCAGCGUACCGGAGCCAGACUGACGCUGAGGCACGAAAGCGUGGGUAUCGAACAGGAUUAGAUACCCGAGUAGUC